rnacentral:rRNA from 1 species
GAAAUCUUCAAAGUUAAAAUCUUUUGUUAACUCAAUUGGUUUCUACUUUGGUAUUGGAGGUCUUUGCAGCUUCACACCUGCUCCUCUUUGUUCAUUAGCUGGAUCUCAGUGUUAUGCUUGGUUCCACUCGGCGUGAUAAGUUAUCUAUCGCUGAGGACACUGUAAAAAGUGGCCAAGGUAAAUGCAGAUGAACCGCUUCUAAUAGUCCAUUGACUUGGACAAUACUUUUAUGAUCUGAUCUCAAAUCAGGUAGGACUACCCGCUGAACUUAAGCAUAUCAAUAAGCGGAGGAAAAGAAACUAACAAGGAUUCCCCUAGUAACGGCGAGUGAAGCGGGAAGAGCUCAAAUUUAAAAUCUGGCAGUGUAUUCUGUCCGAGUUGUAGUCUAGAGAAGCAUCAUCCGUGCUGGACCGUGUACAAGUCUC